rnacentral:rRNA from 1 species
UGCAAGUCGAACGAACCUUCGGGUUAGUGGCGGACGGGUGAGUAACGCGUGGGAAUCUGCCCUCAGGAGGGGGAUAACGGUUGGAAACGACCGCUAAUACCCCAUAUGCCGAUAGGUGAAAUGAAUUUCGCCUGAGGAUGAGCCCGCGUCUGAUUAGCUAGUUGGUAAGGUAAUGGCUUACCAAGGCUUCGAUCAGUAGCUGGUCUGAGAGGAUGAUCAGCCACACUGGGACUGAGACACGGCCCAGACUCCUACGGGAGGCAGCAGUGGGGAAUUUUCCGCAAUGGGCGAAAGCCUGACGGAGCAACGCCGCGUGAGGGACGAAGGCCUCUGGGCUGUAAACCUCUUUUCUCAAGGAAGAAGAUAUGACGGUACUUGAGGAAUAAGCCACGGCUAAUUCCGUGCCAGCAGCCGCGGUAAUACGGGAGUGGCAAGCGUUAUCCGGAAUUAUUGGGCGUAAAGCGUCCGCAGGCGGCCUUUCAAGUCUGCUGUUAAAGCGUGGAGCUUAACUCCAUUAUGGCAGUGGAAACUGAUAGGCUCGAGUAUGGUAGGGGCAGAGGGA